AACACAAAUAUCUUAUAAACCGUAAUGAAGAAGAAGCAAGUCUGUUCAUGAUUUUCAGUCUUGCUUUGGUCGUCACAUGGUUCGGUUGUCCUCAGGAAGCUGUUCUAUUUUUCUGCAGGCAAAAGGGUGUGUCUGUGUUGUUUAUAUUUCAUCUAUAGAUGCCCCGUGUACGUGUGAGGAAGAUAUCUAGAGGCAAUGUGGAUUGUUCAUCAUACAAAACGGCUUAAGAUGAGGUGAAGGCAGGCAGUUCUUUGCUUCUAAGAUUUAUGCGAAAUCGAGAUGCAGCCGAAGGAGAAAAUCAAGAUAUAGGUAUGAGUUAUAAUGCACAUAAUAAAGUUUUUUUUCAAAAGAACAAGAAAGGGAACUUUCGAAGUAUUUAUUGCGAUGUGCAGACAUUUACUUCGGACUUAAUAAAAAGGAGGUGCGAAAAUUAGCCUUUGAGCUAACACAUUUGCAAUUAUUUCGACCACGGACUGGGGAUGGAUGCAGAGAUGGCUGGCGAAGAAUAGUUUCGUAUGUUUAUGAUGUAGUGAUCGCACUACAUACCAACCCCCAACAUAUACAUUUUCCCUAAUGCCGUGCGUUUUCCCAAACACUUCAAUCACCGAUAUAUACACUAUAUACAUUGACUCACAAACAAAUCGUCACAAGGUCAUCAUAAUACUCACUCGUCAUAGCUACGUCAAAACCCAUAAACUGCUAUGAGUAAUGAAUAUCCAAUGUCCAACGGAUU